UCGACGUUGCGAAUUUCAACAGCCGAUUCUUCGUCUUUAUAUUGUCCGCACUUUGCUUCCGUAAGAUCUAUCAGACUUUCACGGUCUGGGUUGCUGCGGUUUUAAACACCGCUCGAGACUUCCGGCUGUGUUCGGUUCGAGUUCCACUUUGAUAGUCUCUUUUUUUCCUUUCACCAGCCUUUCAACUAGCCUCGUAAUAAUAGCUUCUGUUAAUUGACCAGGGGUAUUGUCGACGAGUUAGCCGGAGAAUGAAUUACCGUGUCAUACGCGAAAGGGUUAAUAACAAAGAGAGAGAAAGAAAAUGAUAGAAUGUGAAAACAGGUGACCGCAUUUGAUUCAAACGCAUCGAGACAUUCAGUACACUCUCGACGUCGUUUGCUUGUGAAAACGGGUUGGAAACGCGAAUUGGCUUUCUCCGGCUGAUGCUAAAUGCUACCGUGUACGUUUAAAUAAAUCACGAAAGUCGAUAGUCGCACGAUUCCGAGUCACGAUUUUUUUCGAACUUUGGAUAAUUACAGGCUUUCGAUGAGUUCGACGAGUUCAGAUUUCACUGAUGAGUUUCAGAGUCAUUAAUUUUAACAUUUUAAUGAAUCGAUUGUUACGUUGAUCGUCGAGCGACGCGUCGCAUCUCAAAUGUUGGUUGAAUGUAAACGACUUGGAGCGAAAUAAACUAGACUUAUAAGAAGGCGAACUGGAAGUGGCGUUACUUGAAUUCAAGUAACUCUUCCGUUCUGUAAGAACGCAUCGGAGGCAGCCUCUCUAUCGCUGCAAAAGGAAAGAUUCGAGAAGACGAAGAAUCAGAAACACGUUGCGAUCACGCGGCUACGUCGACGCGAGAGGAUCGCGACAUCGUAGCCGAGACGAGUUUCUUCAAGAGCAAGAACCCGAAGUGAACGAGAGAGCUGAUGCGUGUUUCGCCCUCCUUUCACCGCCGGCCAUCUCGUGAAACACACAUGGAUUUCAGAUCGAAUUAAAUCGACCCACCACCGAGCCAAUUAGGAUCGAUACAUUGCCGCAACGCCGGCGGCAAUUAAGCUUUUCGCCGUGCUAAUUAAUCGGUCCAACGGAAUCGCACGCCGGACGGUUCGUACCGAAUCUACAGGCUCUUUCAGAAACAUUUUUUAGAGUAUUUUUGGAAAUUUCUUUUACCACCUUCAAACUUACCGAACGUAUAAAUUAAAAUUAAUAUUGCAAAAAUCAUUUUUAAGGGAACCGUGUCAAAUUUAUAAAGUGAUAAUAUGAAAUGUGAAAUUUAAUUAAAAUUGCGGCUUUCUCCAUGGUCCGCCGUCCGAGGGGUUGAAUAUAAAUUCUAAUUUAACUAAUGAAUAUUUUACACUAAUUGGAUAUUUCAGCUAUAUUUUCAGGAAUGAACGUCUCUUUUGGAAUGUGGGUGCCAUCCUACAAAGUGCAUCGUUCGAAAUGUUAUAUACGAAGAACAAAAGGCUGUUUGGACUAUGGAAUCUUGUGAGGCGACAUUUUAUCGUUCGUCACUCGAGAAGUUCGUCGGAAUAUUUCUUAUGACACUAUCGGAAUGGAACUGCAUCGAACUGGUGCGAGACACGCGUAAGUGCAAUUAAAUUAAUCAAAAGUGUCUGAUCAAGUAAAAAAAAAUGGAGGAUAAAUACGAAGAACGUGUUAAGAGAAACACAAUACGAAUUCAAUCGCUAUAUAAAGUUAUAAAUUAUACAUAUAUCGCUAAUUAAUUUCAACUUCAAUAAUGAAACGUAUUAAUCUAUUUCAUUCGACGUUUCGAAUCUGAUUUGAUCGUGAACGUGUUGUUGACAUAAGAUCAUAUUAAUUUUUGCCCAUAUAUCAAUAACAAUAAUCUGUCAUGAAUCACUAUUCUACCUGAUAUAAUAAACAAACUGACGUGUAUAUAAUUUUGCAUAGAAAAUAGCCCGCGGGUAAAUGUUGCAAUAAUAAACUGCAUCUCCUGAAU